rnacentral:other from 1 species
CGUCCUCUGCUGUGUCGACAGCCUGCAAAACAUUCGCCUUGUCCCUUAAUACGACCUUGGGGAUGUGACGGAUCCGGGUGUGCAUGUCCGCCCCGUGUGGAAAGCCCGAUGGAUCCCCAGCGUUCCCACUUGAACCCCGGGUUCAAGGUCGUUUCGCGGGCAUCUUCAUUGGCGGAGGGCGU